ACUAAUAAUACUAAUAAUGUUCUUUCCUAUUUCAGAAUGCAAUCCAAAAUCCCACAGUGCACUUAAUGGGCAGUCAAUUUUUAAAGGAAUUCACUAUCAAGGUCUUGGCUCCAUUUCAGAAGUUCAGCUUCCUAGAGGGGCUUCGUUGCUCUGGGUCCGGGAAACAUUUUCUUAGGUUUAAAGCCAGCUCUGAAC
rnacentral:lncRNA from 1 species